UUGAACGCUAGCGGGAUGCCUUACACAUGCAAGUCGAACGGCAGCACGGACUUCGGUCUGGUGGCGAGUGGCGAACGGGUGAGUAAUGUAUCGGAACGUGCCUAGUAGCGGGGGAUAACUACGCGAAAGCGUAGCUAAUACCGCAUACGCCCUACGGGGGAAAGCAGGGGAUCGCAAGACCUUGCACUAUUAGAGCGGCCGAUAUCGGAUUAGCUAGUUGGUGGGGUAANGGCUCACCAAGGCGACGAUCCGUAGCUGGUUUGAGAGGACGACCAGCCACACUGGGACUGAGACACGGCCCAGACUCCUACGGGAGGCAGCAGUGGGGAAUUUUGGACAAUGGGGGAAACCCUGAUCCAGCCAUCCCGCGUGUGCGAUGAAGGCCUUCGGGUUGUAAAGCACUUUUGGCAGGAAAGAAACGUCAUGGGCUAAUACCCCGUGAAACUGACGGUACCUGCAGAAUAAGCACCGGCUAACUACGUGCCAGCMGCCGCGGUAU
rnacentral:rRNA from 1 species